UGAAAUGCGAGUUCAGUCUUUGAGAGAUUUCUUUGUUCUAAUGCGCUAAAGUUUGAUCUGCACAUUAUAGUUGGAUCGCUACAUGUUAUAUUUUCUAAUUUGAUAGUUCAAGUAGACUUGAUUUGCAACAUUGCAACUUCUCUAUGAUAGAUUGAUAACAUUAAAAAUAGAACAACUUAGUUCGAAGGGUGAUUUAGGUUUUGGCCACCGAAAGUUAGUACUAAUUAGGUUUCAAAAUUCUUUUCUUUUGAAAUUAGGCUUUGGCCAUCUUUUUUUGAACCAAAGUCCGAAAAAACCCGGUUGAACCAGAAAUAUUUUUUAAAUACCAUAAGUUGCCCCUGAAGAAGCACGUGACUUGCACAUGAGAACUUAAAGCAGAAAAAUUCAAACAUCUUCCCCAUUGCUUCAACUGUAUAUAAACAAACAGAUUUCACCUUCUUUACUUAAAUCUUUGUUCCUGCAACAAAAAAUACAAAUUCCUACAUAUAAAUUUCAAGCAAGAGAGAAGUAUAAUUAAUGGGUGGAUGUAAUCUAUGGGUAAGUAAUUUUUCUAAAGCUAUGCAAUGGCUCUUUAAUGGCUUCUAAAGCUUUUUUUUUUUUUCCUCUCACAGGAUGAAUGUCAACUCUGUAGGUGUGAAGGGCACACAGCUGAUGUGUGCCCACUCCUAUAUGCUCCAUGUAUUACCCCAGGCUGCCAAGGGAUGAUGAAGUUGUAUACAACCUACGAUGAUGACAAGACCGAAGUUAAGUACCUAAUGUGCCGAUAUGACUUGUGUCCUGGGCAAGUCUACCUUCCACCAAUAACAACUACAAAGUGGGAUUCAUACAAGUAUGAAGAAGAUGAGAAGCCAGCUAAAACAGAAAAGUGAAAUGUGUGUAUCCUAGCUAAUGUGUAACAAAAUGACUCUGCAAUGGGUGUGCGCAUAACUCAAUGACAUGAUACAAAACACUGCUAUAUAAAACCAUCUUUACAAAAUCAAACCAAGCAUACAUAACACUGCUUUAUGUGAGCACAAAACACUGCUAAAUAAAACACCAAGCAUACAUAAAACAUUUCCACACAAAACACUGCUAUAUAUUCAUCACUGUAAUACACCACAUAUCCAAAAUAGUUCAUCAACAUCUGGUCUGGUCUCUCAAUCAAAUCCUUUAUAUCUUUGCUAAAAUCCAGCCACAUUAGAUGUUAACCAUUAACAGUCCACACUACCAGUUUCCCCCUUUGUAAUCCUUCAAAUGCACUUUCCCUGGGAUAAUAAAAUCCCACAUUCCACCAUAAUGCAUCACAAUUUUCCUAGUGUCUAAAGCCAUCUUCACUGAAACAACAUCAACAAAACAACAUUCAACACAUUUUCAUUAUCCAAAAAAAAAAAAAAAAAAAAAAACCAGAUACACAUUUUUGAAUUGUUCCACAAAACUAGUUUUGUCAUAUACAAAUUGACAUUAUAAAACAACUAUUAAUAAAACUGGUUUUGUUAUGACUUUUGGAUGAGCUAUUAAAUUUUUUUGGAUGAGCUAUUGAAAAUUUUCAUUAUAAUUGACUAAUACAACAUAUAUUGAAUUGAACAGAGAUACAUUGACAGACAAACAGAGUUAAACAGAGCCCAAGUUAUAUCUUUUUUUACCGACAAACCCUAGCAAGCACACAUUUUUUUGAAUAACCCCAAACUCAAAUAACAAGUUAAACAAAAAGCUACCAUUUUUUCACCAAAUUUGAAAGUUUUGAAACAAAGUUAAAUUUUUCCAGCAAAAGAAAAACCCCAAUUUAAAAAAACAAAAUCAAAGCUUUGAUUUUUGAACUUGAGAUUUAGAGAUUAUGAGAAAAAACUUAAUCUUUCAAACAUGCAAGCACAUAAUCGUGUGAAGGAAGUCAGAUCAACCAUAAACCCCAAAAAAAUUUGAACUUUUUCGAACAUAGAAAAGUUUAAUCAAUAACAAAAUAAAAACAAACAAAUCACAAAAGUAGAAGUCUAGAAUUUAACCAAAUACAAGAUGAUGAGAGAGAUAAACAGUUGAGAAAGAUGAAGUUUUAAAUACCUAAUCUUGAUCGAAGACUUAGAAGACACAAUUUUCUGUUAAAACCCUCUUUCUUCAACAAACAAUUAUUUAUUAAAAAUCACCAACAAACUCACUCCCUCACACCAUUUUGAGUAAUCAUCAGCAAAAAACCUUAGCUUUUGUUGUUGUUUUGAGGAAAACCUAAGUUUUGUUGCAGAGAAGAAGAUAGAAAGAAAUGAGUUGGGUUGCCAGAGGUUGGGGGUAUACCGAGGGUUUCCCGCUACUUAUGACUCGAGAUCUACGCUGUGAUGGUGCUUUGUAUGACCAGAUUGCAAUCAAACAGAUCGGGCGGUUAAUAUCGUGCAACGUGUCUGGUCCAUGUACAGAAACUAGGUCUCAUGUGUUGCACAUGAUUUUUUUAGUAGGGGUAUUUAAGUCUUUUUAAAAUGUUGUUUGGUUCAGGCGGCGGUUGAUAGCCAAAGCCUAAUUUCAAAAGAAAAGAGCUUCGAAACCUAAUUAGUACUAACUUUCGGUGGCCAAAACCUAAAUCACCCUAGUUCUAACUGCUCAUGUCAUCUGUUCCUGGUUUGCAACUUCUCUAUGUUGCUACCUGUUGCUUCAUAAACUCUGAUGAUCAGUUUAUUAAUAUGAAUCUCAUGGAAUUUGGUUAUUGUCGUCUGAUCGAAGUGCUUUAUUUGUUCGCUUUCCUGUUAAGUCUUGCUAUUCUUCCAGUUCAUUUAUAAGAUGGAACAAUUACCUUUUUGCCUUUUUUUUUUUUUUCCUUCGAAGAGCUUUUGUGCAAGACUGUAAUAAGACUGAAACUA
rnacentral:lncRNA from 1 species